rnacentral:rRNA from 1 species
GACGAACGCUGGCGGCGUGCCUAAUACAUGCAAGUAGAACGCUGAAGGAGUAGCUUGCUUCUCUGGAGGAUGUGGGAACGGGGGAGUAAGGAGUAGGUAACCUGCUUGACUGCGUGGGAUAACAAUUGGAAACGAAAGCUAAAACAGCAUAACAGUAGAUCUCGCAUGAUAUCCACGUGAAAGGUGCACUUUCAUCAAUACCAGAUGGAGCUGCGUUGUAUUAGCUAGUUGGUGAGGUAACGGCUCACCAAGGCGACGCUACAUAGCCGACCUGAGAGGGUGGUCGGCCACACUGAGACUGAGACACGGCCCAGACUACUUCGGGAAGCAGCAGUAGGGGAUCGUCGGCAAUGGACGGAAGUCAGACCGAGUAGCGCCGCGUGAGUGAAUAAGGUUUUCGGAUCGUAAAGCUCUGUUGUCAGAGGAGAAAGAGUGUGAGAGUGGAAAGUUCACACUGUGACGGUAUCUUACCAGAAAGGGACGGCUAACUACGUG